AAGUCGUAACAAGGUUUCCGUAGGUGAACCUGCGGAAGGAUCAUUAGCACGUAUCCAAACGUUAAAACCCCCCCCCGUGAACAUUCAUCCCAGGAGCUAGGCCAAAGGGUCCCCAUGCCCCCUUACAACCCCACAGUUUAAUGUGAAGCUCAAUGUAAUACAUUGGGUAAAAAAACCGAACAACUGUUAACAAUGGAUAUCUUGGUUCUC
rnacentral:misc_RNA from 1 species